rnacentral:rRNA from 1 species
UACGUAGGGCGCAAGCGUUGUCCGGAUUUAUUGGGCGUAAAGAGCUCGUAGGCGGUCUGUCGCGUCGGCUGUGAAACCCCGAGGCUCAACCUCGGGCCUGCAGUCGAUACGGGCAGACUAGAGUGUGGUAGGGGAGACUGGAAUUCCUGGUGUAGCGGUGAAAUGCGCAGAUAUCAGGAGGAACACCGGUGGCGAAGGCGGGUCUCUGGGCCAUAACUGACGCUGGAGGAGCGAAAGCGUGGGGAGCAAACAGG